AAAAAUGAUUUACCGCUGCCGGUCGCGAUGUCAAAUAUGUUGCCGAUUGAGACGAUUUGGAAUUCAGCAGGAACAUCGCGUACGCGUAGCCCUUCGAAAAACUUGAGAAACUUUCGAAAAGUUUCCAAAUUCGCGUCGACUAAGUGCUAGAAACUGUGCGGAAAAGUGUUCCACACAUGUUAAGAGAUGAAAUUACUUUAAGACGGCGGCUUUCUUUACGCAGACAAAACUCACGAUGGAAAUCCGGAUCACCAGACUACUAACUGCUGCAACUCAAGGAAAAGCGGGAAGCCGAUUUUUUCGGUUCGACAAGGCGACACACGUUGCUUUCUGUGCCAUUGUUCGAGAUACGGAGUCUCCGCGUUUCAACCUGUAGUGGAUUUCCGGAUUUUCCAGUGCCGGGGAAAAUCGAGAAGUGCGCGAAAUGUCCACUAACACAAGAACAGCCACAUUUCAAAAAAAAUUAUGUCUGUCCAAUGCUUCUUAGAUGAACCAAAACUCCAAUAAAAUGAAUGGAUCGAUAAUCCAAAGCUGCAUUAUUUAAAGUGAUAUUUAAUGCCUUUUCUUUAAAGUAGUAACUUGAAUUUGUUUUAUUUAAUCAUAAAUUAAGCGAGG